GUGUCAGCCGCCGCGGUAAUACGUAGGGUGCAAGCGUUAAUCGGAAUUACUGGGCGUAAAGCGUGCGCAGGCGGUUGUGUAAGACAGGCGUAAAAUCCCCGAGCUUAACUUGGGAAUUGCGUUUGUGACUGCACGGCUAGAGUACGGCAGAGGGGGAUGGAAUUCCGCGUGUAGCAGUGAAAUGCGUAGAUAUGCGGAGGAACACCGAUGGCGAAGGCAAUCCCCUGGGCCUGUACUGACGCUCAUGCACGAAAGCGUGGGGAGCAAACAGGAUUAGAUACCCUGGUAGUCCACGCCCUAAAUGAUGUCAACUGGUUGUGGGGAAUUAACUUUCUCAGUAACGAAGCUAACGCGUGAAGUUGACCGCCUGGGGAGUACGGCCGCAAGGUUAAAACUUAAAUGAAUUGGCGG
rnacentral:rRNA from 1 species